CGAGAAGUAGAAUCCGGUCAUCCGCCAUUUUCGCGCUAAACCAGCCCAACUCAAAACCAAACCGCCGCAAAAUUUUCUCCGAUCCAUUUGAGAGUCAUCGUCGCCGCCGCCGCCGCCGCCGCCGCUGAGAGGGAUCCGGUCGCCGGUUCAUGGCUGGUGCAGCGGCGGAAAUGGGGCGAGGAGCCGGCGCCGGGAGCGUUGAACGCAUCGAGUAUCUCUUCCUGCCGGGGUACGACUCUUCAGGGGUGGACAUCAGCACAACCUCAAGUUGGAAGUGACAAUGUGAUGCCGCAAUCACGAACACAAGACACGUGGAUAACCCUGAUGUUCUGAACGAAGGCAUUUGUAUGAUCCAAAAGUGAUCAUUUAAGUCAUUUAUUUCAAGGUAUAUCGUCCCUUGCUUAUCAAGGUGGAUCUGUGUAUGUUUUUAGCAAAUACUCCCGCCGUCCCAAAAUAAGUGACUCGACUUUGUACUAAA